GGGAGUGGAUAGGUCCCGGUGGGCCUCCCGGUCUUCAAAAUCGGUGUCGGGUCGCGUUGCGAGCCGCGGUGGGUUCGACUCCCAUCCAUUCCCG
rnacentral:tRNA from 1 species